rnacentral:lncRNA from 1 species
AAAACCCACACUCUUCCACGGAACUCCAGAAGGUUUGGCAGCCACGUGCAAGCAGCGCCCAGCAUCCUCCCCCUGCAAGGAGAAAUGUCGCGCCCCCUCCGGACAUUGGGGCAGCGAGAACGCUUCGCUUCCGCGCAAUCACGUGCCUUCCUUGAAUUCACGCUGUGCUGGGGAGGACAGAGCCGCCUUUGUUCGGGCCCCGCUGCUGCUGCGGAGGAGCUGGAACCAAGUCCUGGGCGCUGGCGGCGUGACAGUGCCGCUCCUGGCACGUCCGCACGGCAAGCAUCGAGGAAAAGCAAAACGUGAUUGGGGAGCGUGGCUGCAGGGGCAGGACGCCCUUUCCCAGCACAUCCCCGUGGAUUUUUGCCUCCUCGCAUGGUCCCAGCAUGGAUUUUAUUUUACGGGCUGCGUUUCACCUCCCUCCGUCACACAAAAAGCUGGGUCACGGGGAACUGAGCGACCCUAAAACGUCCCCCACUGCCCCCACCCCACUUAAUCCCCACUGUCCCCGUGCCCAACAAACCCCAUUACUGUCCCUGCCGGCUCGCUCAGGGACAACUUGAGCAUCUGGGGCUGCAUGGCCGGGACUGAUCCUGCACAGGACCCAGCAUUGGUGGGUGGCCGGGGACUGGGCGCUGCGCUGGGAGCCAGCCCCAAUCCCAAGCCUGCGCGGCUGAAGGCUCCCCCAGAGCCAGCCCUGGGCUUUCCCGCAUGAAUCCCUGCUCAGAUUUCUGCCCCAAGCAGCUCCUGCAGUGGGAACCUUGGCCAGGACGGGAGCUCCGCGGCUCUUCCCGGAGCUGGGCCCUAUGGGGCUGAGAUAAGGCGCUGUGGGGCUGCUGAUACGGUUAUCACCGUGGCACCUACGGUGGUGGCUUUAUUGCUGUGAUGGCAGGAAAAAGCCCUUUAUGUCAGCAGGUUUUGCCUGCACGAGUUGAUAAAGUCGCUGUGGUUCGCCUUAUUGCCACCUGAAUUUCCCCUGCUCCCGGGGACCAGAGCUGUGCACGGGUGAGGAAUUGGGCUGCCGUGUGCAAGGGGUCUGAAGUGUGGGAUGUUGGAGAAAUUUGGGGAUUUCUGCUCGUGGAGCUGCUCAGCAUGAGCAAAAUUGCUGGACAAAGCACGUCUGAGAGCUCGGGGGGGUUCUCCCAGGAGCUGCUCCUGCAAAUCCACGAGCGGCGGAGUCAGGAAAGGCUGGGGGCUGCAUCGGGGUUCUCAUCGCUGUGCUGAAAAAAAAUUUGGAAAAGUGACUUCCAGGCUCCUUCCCCGGGAAAAAUGCACCCCGAUGUCAUGUUGCAACUGAGCCAAAGCUGGGCACAACUGCAGCUGGUCCCCAAGCGGUCCCCAAAGGGACCCCAGAGGGAUGCUGACCUCGGGGGGGAUGCUGAUGGGGUUAGCUCCCCGCAUGUAGGUGCGGAGGCAGAGGAGCAGCAUUUACACCAUCAUAAAGAUUUUGCGCAAGGCUCCGGGAG